UCUUGUGCGGCGUUAUUAAAUUUUAUACAAAUACUAAAAAUGAAAUCAAAAUUUUCUUAUUACAAUGACUAUUUUCUCUCAAACAGCUGUGCGCCCGCCCGAGCUGGGACCGACAAUGAGUCCCGGGUCCGUUGCUGAGUUUGUCUUGCUGGUUGCGUUGCGUUGAGUUGAGUUGGGUUCGGUUGGCCUGGGCUGGGUUGGGUUGGGUUGAGUUGGUUUGCCAUGGUUUUCUUUGCCUCGGUGUGGAUGGGAAGCUCUUGAGUCGUAUGGCCCGGGCCACCCACUCACCCACUCAUCCAUCCGCCUGCCCGCCUGACUGACUGACUAUAAGCAACUCGCGCACACAAUCUACUCGGAUCCGCUGACUACCUGAGAGACAUACUUAAAAUUUAAAUUAAACAUCGCACGAAAAGGUCGAAGAAGAAAAAAAAAAACACACACACA